rnacentral:rRNA from 1 species
GACGAACCGCCCGAACGUUAUUCGGAAUCACUGGGCUUAAAGGGAGCGUAGGCGGGCUGCCAAGUCCGGGGUGAAAUCCUCCAGCUUAACUGGAGAACUGCCUCGGAUACUGGAAGUCUCGAGGAGGGUAGGGGCAAGUGGAACCGUGGGUGGAGCGGUGAAAUGCGUUGAUAUCCAUGGGAACUCCGGUGGCGAAGGCGACUUGCUGGACCCUUUCUGACGCUGAGGCUCGGAAGCCAGGGGAGCAAACGGG